ACCAAUUAGCGUUGAAAGCAAGAUUACUGUAAGGUCAACGUCUUUUAAUCAAGUUUGUUCCCAAAAUCUUCUAUCUCGAAGCAAAAUCACGUUGCUUUACCUACCAAUGGUUGGUAUAACAUUUAUCUUUUUCAUUGUCAUUGUAAGUAGCCAGAGUUAUUAAAAGAUUAUUAAUUAUACAGAAUGAAAACUCUUUUGAUAUAGCAUCAAAUGUAACAAAGUAAAUUGACAUAAAGUAUUUAAUUAAAUAAAUAUGAAGUUCCCCAUAAUUUAGAUAGAUAUCGUCAUUUAUUCGAUCCUUAUUCAGUUAUCAGCUGAAGCUAGAAUGUUCGCUUAACAAUCGCCUGCUUAUGAUUGAUUAAAUGAAAAGUACCAACUCGCUCAAGUCGACUAUCAUUUUGACCCAAAAACCAUUAAGAAACUUUGGUGCAACGCACUCAGGCCAUGAAAAAAACUUGCGUAGACGUAGACGAACUGGGUAUCUGUACUUAUUCUCAAGUACUUUAUCCAUCUUGACUGUCUCCAUUUGUUUAAGCUUCACUUCAAUGAAAUAAUCAGGAUUGGAUCCUCUUAAAAUGAUGUAAUUUUUUAUGUGACUGUCUAAAAGCGAUAGAAUUUCGGUUGUAUAGAUUUGGUGCAGAGAAAAUGUAUUUAUUUCAAGUUCAACGUGUAGCUUUUCUGGAGAUGCAAUUUUUACUUAAAGCAUUUGUGAGUUGUAUUUAAAUACAACUGUUUUGCUCGAAAACGCUCGAAAAACCCACCAGUUUCCAACUUUCCAAACAACAAAAAGCCAAACUCCAUCAAUUUUUCAGUCAGUUAUGUACCCACUGUCCAAGUUUUAAUAAUGGGCUUUUACCGGACAAUUCGUGCUCAGCUGCUUUGAGUUUGAGAUCGAUUACAUCGUGUUCCUCUUGUUCCAAAGCUUAACUUUGUUAUGGCAAUUUAAUAAAGGCACUUUCCUCUGCUUACAGGAAUUUUCCAAUUUUAUUAGCGUUCCGCUCAACUGGCUGUUCGUAAUUUUUCAUAUGAUAGACCCAGUUUUCCUCAGAAGAAUUUUUUAUUGAAAAGUUCGCGAAAAAACAAGUAGAACAUCGUUCAAACGGUCAUAGUAGAGAUAAAAUCAAUUUCCGUUACGAGAUUGAGUCGUUGAUGAACACCGUUUUCUUGCCUUUUUAAACCUUUUACAAAAUUGGAGGAAAAAGAUAACAGAAAUCACAUAAACACAUUUUUGUUUAACUUUUCUGAACGUUUUCUUUGGAGCAAAACAUCGAUUUUGCUCGGGUUUUAAUCAAAUUUUCAAUGCAUAAUAAUUAUAAUAAAUAAGUUUGCUGAUUACAUUGUUAUGUUUUGUGCUCCGAAAGUUUGCAUGAACUGAAAUACAAAAAGGUUUUUGUAUAGUUUGUGUUUUCCUGUUUCUGCCUGCGCAAAAGCUUCAAAAAGUCAACACAGUUUUGAUGAUAUGAUGAUCAAUGCAAAUUAUUUUGUAUAAUGAAACGAUUACGCAUCAUGGUCUUUAAUAUAUUUUUUAAGACACUUCAGUCAGGAGAGUUUUAGACUUUAUUGUUAAUGCAGUUAAUGCGGGUAAAGGCGAGUUUUUCAACGUUUUUAUGAAUGAUCAGUUCAAGUUGCCAUAAAAAUGCGUUUAUUUGUUGUUUUAAACUGUCUGCUGCUCAGAAAUUAGCAUUUAGUUCUGAUAUAUUUAAUCAAAAUUUAAAAAAAUCAAAAAAAUACAAAACCCGUCAUCUCAUUCUUCAUUCUUGGUUAACAGUGAUUUCUUGGCUUUCUAACGCUUCUCUUGAAGGACUCAAAAAGGCAAGAGAAAAUUACUGGUGUUCGAUUUAGAAAAAAAUCUGAUUUAUUGGUCUUGGAUUGGAUAAGUUUGAGAAAAUUCAUUAUUGAGAAAUCACAAAAGCUGAAACUGAAAUUUUUGAAAAAAAUGAGAAUUCGCGAGAUUACGAAUUGAGUAUGUUUGUAAUUUUAUGUAAUAAUUUAAGUAGUUUAUCGAUUAUUGCGAAAAUAUGUGUUGGUUGUAGUGAAAACAUCAAUCAGCUCAAAACCAGUGGUAGAUUAAUCGCUCAUAGACACGAAACUGUUGAUGAUUAAUGUUAAAAUUAAUCUAUUACUAUCUACAUUUUUAUCACUGAGAGCAUUUAAAGUUGAUGUUUGCUGACUAAAAUCAUAUCUACCCGAUUCCUACUAUCAGUAAGCAACAAAAUGUUUGUUCGAAUUUUUAAAUUAUUGAUGAAUCCCACGUUUCAAGGAACAUUACUUGGGCGCACGGUAACUAGCAAUUAAAAGCAACUGUAAGGCAAACAAGAUCCACACCAACCCCAACCCCAUUUGUGCUGUAAUGAAAAUACUUUCUACACUUGUAACUCAUAUCAGCAUCGGUGAAUAUUUGUGAAUGGAUUGAAAAUACAGUAUAAUUCAUAUACA